CCCACAGAUUAUGGCCCAAAUCACUUGUUUUUUUUUUAUUAAACCUUCCACUGCCUAUCUGAGGCAUCUAAUGUCUCACAAGCUGCUAUGCUGAUCAGCAGAAGGAUUCUUCUGAGACACUCAGGGAGCUUUGAUUGCAGGAAAAAAAUAUUGAUUGAUAUAGAGGGUACAAGGUUCAAUUCAGACAAGCUUUUCAAAUCAAUAAAUAAAAAAUAUAAAUAAUAAGUGAUACAAAGAAAUUAAAACAAAGAAGGUAUUGUGAAUAAACAAAUAAAAAUAAAUAUAAGAAAUAAAAAAAAUUAAAAAUAAGCUACAGAAUAAACCCCUGCAGUUUACAUCUUGAGUUAUAUACAUAUUUUAACACUCUAUAUAACCAGCCACCACCUCUGUCCUCUCAGGCCAUCAUUAGGGGUUAUCAUUUCCCCUAGAAUACCACCACUCACCCAGGUUCCUUAACUAGCC
rnacentral:sRNA from 1 species